GACGAACGCUGGCGGCGUGCCUAAUACAUGCAAGUCGAGCGGACUUAAAAAGCUUGCUUUUUAAGUUAGCGGCGGACGGGUGAGUAACACGUGGGCAACCUGCCUGUAAGACUGGGAUAACUUCGGGAAACCGGAGCUAAUACCGGAUAAUCCUUUCCUACUCAUGUAGGAAAGCUGAAAGACGGUUUACGCUGUCACUUACAGAUGGGCCCGCGGCGCAUUAGCUAGUUGGUGAGGUAACGGCUCACCAAGGCGACGAUGCGUAGCCGACCUGAGAGGGUGAGCGGCCACACUGGGACGGAGACACGGCCCAGACUCCUACGGGAGGCAGCAGUAGGGAAUCUUCCGCAAUGGACGAAAGUCUGACGGAGCAACGCCGCGUGAGUGAUGAAGGUUUUCGGAUCGUAAAACUCUGUUGUUAGGGAAGAACAAGUACGAGAGUAACUGCUCGUACCUUGACGGUACCUAACCAGAAAGCCACGGCUAACUACGUGCCAGCCGCCGCGGUAA
rnacentral:rRNA from 1 species